UGCCGGUACCGUAUCAAUACCAUAAACCAAUGUUCAUGGUUGAGAACAUCCCGUCCGCGAAAAUCCCAAUCGCGAUUUUCCAAUAUCGAAUUCGAACAAAAACCCUUGUUGCAUCAAGUUCCCGAUAACCGAAAACCCACCCGGCGUCGUCACCGGUUGUAACGCCACACAUUUCACAUCCUCCGCCGUGUCGAUAAAAUAAUUCCCAACCGGCGGUGAAAACACCGAGUCGUCACCAACGAGUUUAAAACUCAGUCUGGGUACACUCGGUCUAUCCACCCCGGACACAUUAAAACAAAGAUCAAAAUUUGGCGGCGCACCAUCCGGCGUCUGGAGUUUCACGCGCCGCCGGAACGCUGCCAACACGCGCCGGUAGGCAGUCUCCGGUAGGAAAGUCAAAGUAGUACCGGAGUCAACGAUGGUCCCACCAUUACCCAAUUCAUCAAUACUCCAAACCGAAGGGCUUAUUCGUAAUUUCACAUUAUCUACAUAAACAUCUUGAAUCCCAAUGUAGUAAAAGGGGGAUGCUAAUGGGCUUUUUUGCAACGGUGUGUACCGGAUUUUUGAGUUUCCGGAUCCGGGUCGGGUUCCGAUUAAAAGGUAACUCGUUGGUGGAGGGACAAUGGUGUAGUCUUUAAGACAGUAAGAAAAUUUGUUACCGAACCGGCGACCGAGUUGGGUAACAAACGAAAUGGGCCCACGCCCUAAGCCCAUUACGCCUUGGGCCCCGUGAAAGCCUGGACCGGAAACACUCGGGCCGGAGGUUUUAAACCCGCACCCGAAAGCUAAACUAUCAUGUUGUAAUAACUUUCCGUUGGAUGAGUUAAACGUCGUCGUUUCCUUAGCGAAAAACCCGCUAGUAAUAGACCCGUCAGCGUAUGAAUAUUCGUAUCUACACGGGGAAUGCAGGCGCGUGUGGUUACACGCGAGGGAGGGGCGUGGGUGGGGAACGAGUCGACAAGCUGAGUUGAAACAGUGAGUUAGUGAGUAGGAAGUGGAAUGGCGGGCGAGGAAGGCGGAAUGCGGUGGUCGGGUGGCGGAGCAGUUGUUCCGGCAGGCGGAGCAGGUGACCCAGAUGAGAUCGGAGCCGGUGUCGGCGAUGAGGAGGAGGGGUUGUGGUGGGGAGCCUAAAUGAAGGGUGACGAAGUACUGGCCGGCGCCGGCGUAGGCGCCGGAGGUGACGGGGAGGUUGGGUUUGCGGUGGAGGGCGGAGAUUAGGGCAGAGAGGCGGGCGGAGUCGGCGGAGAUGGCUUGGGUGGGGGAUUGAACAGGGUUAAUGUGGUGGAGGGGGAGGCGGAGGAAGUGGUGGUCGCCGGAGUUAACGGUGGUUGAGUGGCAGAUGUGGGUGAAGGAGAUGAUGAUGAUAAUAAUAUUAAUGAGCAUGGUGGAGUGAGGGGGGAGGAGAGAGGGGGGUGGGUGGUAAGUGUAAAUAUGGGGUCUGGCAAUUGGCUGAAAUAAUGAGGUGAUGUAUUUAAUAUGGAAGUAUAUAAAUAUUUAAAUAUAAAGAAAAUUUUAAAUAAUGUUUUAUAA
rnacentral:lncRNA from 1 species